CUUCAAACUAUGGGCACACAAAACGUUGAUAAAAAUAAAAAAUUUAGAAAUCUAUUAUUAAUAGGACAGCAUGUUGAGAGACUUUAAAGGAGUUUUUUUUAAGUAUUUUAAAAAUAAUCUCAAAUUUAUAGAAGUCUUGGAAUUAAAGUACGAAGAACUUUUGUUUUGCUAAAUGAUUUGAAAGUUCCUGAGCUGACUUCUUAUAACCCCUACAUACUGUGUGUCUUCUGUAAACAAGGACUGAAUCCAAUAAAAUUGUAAUAUAGCUAGCAAAAAUCAGGAAAUCAACAUUACUAUAUUUCUACCAUCCAACCAACAGACCUAUUCAAGUUUUGCCAAGUCAGGAUCCAGUUCAGAAUCACCACUGCACUUAUUUCUCACAUCUCUUUCAUCUUCAGUCUGGAACAGUUCUUCAGUCUUUCCUUAACUUUCAUGACCUUUAACACUUCUAUUACAGGCCAAUUAUUUUGUAGAAUUUUCCUUAAUUUGAAUUUGUUGCUUUAGGAUUAGAUUCCAAUUAUAUAUUAUUGGCAGGAGCAUCAUAGAAGUGAUGCUGUGUUCUUCUUGCUAGACUAUCAGGAGGCACACGAUUGCAAUUUGUCCUAUUACUGAUGAUGUUCAUUUUGGUUACUUGAUUAAGGUGGCACCUGCCAGAUUUUUCCACUGUGAAGUGACUUCCUUCUGUAACUGAUGAAUAUUUUGUGAAGAGCUGCUUCGAAAUUACGUAAAUUUUUGCAAAACAGUUGCAGGUGUGUGUGUGCAACAGGUUGUUGACUUAGGCAAUGUGUGGAAUGUUCUGGAUUCCUAGACCCCAGGCAGUAGCUGUAAGACAGUUUUGAACUUUCAAGUAAGACAAACUUAGUUUUGAUUUCCAGUUGUACACUUAGAAGCUAUGGAUGGUAGAUUCUUUGUUGGGGAAAAUAGCAGCAAUUCUCACUCCCUGUGUCCACCCCUUUGGUUGUCCCCUUCCAUACCGGCUGGCCAUGCCUUUGUGACCUGCUUUGGCCAAUGGGAGAAUAGCAAAUAUGACAUAAGUGAGACAUGGAAAGUUCUUGUGUUGCUGCCCUUAUGCUGCUUUUGCAACUCAACCCCUAUGUUCAAGCUCUCCUGGAUGAGACUUGCAGUCGCAUCCCCAUCACCCAGCUGACGAUGAGCUCCUCCUGUCCCUAAAAUAUGAGGCCCCUUGGCCAUCCAGCC
rnacentral:lncRNA from 1 species